rnacentral:rRNA from 1 species
GGUGAUGAGAACGAAGAGGAAACACCUGUACCCAUACCGAACACAGAAGUUAAGCUCUUGAGUGCCGAAAAUACUUGGAGGUUACCCUCCUGGGAACAUAGGUCGUUGCCAG